GACGAACGCUGGCGACGUGCUUAACACAUGCAAGUCGAACGGAAAGGCCCUGCUUUUGUGGGGUGCUCGAGUGGCGAAAGGGUGUGUAACACGUGAGUAACCUGCCCUUGACUUUGGGAUAACUUCAGGAAACUGGGGCUAAUACCGGAUAGGAGCUCCUGCUGCAUGGUGGGGGUUGGAAAGUUUCGGCGGUUGGGGAUGGACUCGCGGCUUAUCAGCUUGUUGGUGGGGUAGUGGCUUACCAAGGCUUUGACGGGUAGCCGGCCUGAGAGGGUGACCGGCCACAUUGGGACUGAGCUACGGCCCAGACUCCUACGGGAGGCAGCGGUGGGGAAUAUUGCACAAUGGGCGGAAGCCUGAUGCAGCAACGCCGCGUGCGGGAUGACGGCCUUCGGGUUGUAAACCGCUUUCGCCUGUGACGAAGCGUGAGUGACGGUAAUGGGUAAAGAAGCACCGGCUAACUACGUG
rnacentral:rRNA from 1 species